CACAGCAACCAGGUUCAGGAAGUGGGGCUAGGCAGAAAGUGGUGGUCGGUCCAGAAAGAGGUCAAAUCCAGGUAGGCAGAGAUCAGGAAAGUCCGGCAGGGGAUCAGGCAACGGGGAGUCCAGGCGGAGGACGGUUAACAAUAAU